rnacentral:rRNA from 1 species
CAGCAGCCGCGGGAAUACGAAGGGGGCUAGCGUUGCUCGGAAUUACUGGGCGUAAAGGGCGCGUAGGCGGAUGUUUAAGUCAGAGGUGAAAGCCCAGGGCUCAACCUUGGAACUGCCUUUGAUACUGGACAUCUUGAGUAUGGGAGAGGUGAGUGGAACUCCGAGUGUAGAGGUGAAAUUCCUAGAUAUUCGGAAGAACACCAGUGGCGAAGGCGACUCACUGGCCCAUUACUGACGCUGAGGCGCGAAAGCGUGGGGAGCAAACAGGAUUAGAUACCCCCGUAGUCCCUGUCUCUUAUAC